AUAUUCUAUGAAAGGAGAGAAGGUUUGCGUUCCCUUGACAAGGACAGAAGAGGCCCUCAGGUCGACAGCGUGCAUGCAGUUAAGACGUUGCCACCUACUUCAUGGCAUCUAACCACAGUUUCAG